rnacentral:lncRNA from 1 species
CAAUACCUUACACUGAGGGAACUUGAUGAAAAAAACUUCUAUACAUGUAAAUUCAGAAAAAUGCUCUAUACAUGUUCACAUUAAUGUCCGAAACAUUGUGGGGACGAAAUUUGAAUUUUUUUUCCAAGGAACAUCAUCAAAACCUCAAAAGAAAACAAAUGGAUAAAUGAUACAUAUCUUGGAUAUGCUCGCUAUGAACCUGUAGAAGCAAGUAAAAAGACUUGAGUUAAAUAAAAAAUACAAUAAUUAUUCAUGAGCCGGUCGGUCGCUUCUUAGAAAAAUUACCCAAAGAUGCAAAAAUCUAUAAGGAGAAGGAAUUUCCAUUCACUUUCUCACCUUGAAGCCACGACUCCGACCAGGAAAAAUCUGAUCCCAAGGAUACACAGGCAGUCCAGCUUGGCACCUGCUUACUACCUUAAUCCAUGUACAUGUGUACCGACGCCGCGCCUGGGACUUUCAAAAUAAGUAUUCAAAGGGUGAUAAAAUAUUAACACCUUCCAUUCACAUUUUUUAAGUGAAACGUAUUCAUCAAAGAGAAAUUACUGGAAACUUGUAUACGGGUUUCUGCAAUUCUAGACAUAUGGAUGACGUAUUCUGUCUCUAUGCUUACAUCCUUUUUGAUGUAAAAUGGAGAACUAAUACUGAUGGAACUUAUAAAGAUGAAAUAUACCCUUCUCAAGCUACAUUUCAUGGGUUAAUACUACAAUAAAAAUUAGGAAAAAUACAACAGGCUUAGACUGAUUAUGUGGAAUGGGACCAAUAUUUCCAGCAGUAAGACGGAAUGAUGGUUCAGAUAUAUACUGACCGCAACUAAGGGAACACAUACACACACCCAAAAGAAUGUCUACUGUACAAACAUUUGUGCACAGCAAUAGCUUUUUACAUUAGACAAAUAAUGGAAAACACAAUAGAGCUGGUAUGAGAAUCAUAUGUUAUCAUAUCAUGUAGUCCUUAUGGAAUUUAUGAUAUAAGCUGAACAUACCAUUUUCUGCAUAUGAAGAAUCACAAAAAUAGAAGAGAAAUAACACUACCUUGCAGACCUGAUUAGACGUUGAAAGGUAACCGUAAUUGAUAUUGAUAACCCAAUCUUCAAAUGAGCAUGUCUAAUAGCAUACAGGAUGGAAGAAUGCAUCAAAAUAUGAAUUCAUAUCAAUGCAAAAGGGACCACAAAAUAACACAAAAUCAGGAACGAACCAACCAUACUUUUUAAAUUAUUUGUACUUGGAAAAGAUAUAGCUAAUACAAACUACAUAACCCAAAGCAGCAUUAGAAACUGCAGAAGGUAAAAAUAGCAACAAUCUAUUAGUAGCAGCAUCAUUAUCUCUAGUACUUUGUUCCAUAUGUUGCAGCAGCACUGUCCUAAUUCACCCAAGCAGCAACAUACAAAUCGGAGCAGCAAUAACAUACAACUCAGAGCAGCAAAUAAUUAGUAGUAAUCCAUAUCCCAACAGUGGCCUCUCUCAUCUCUGAAUCUCUCUAAAUCCCUCACAUAGCGGCAUGGAAGUGGUAGCACAUAACACAAAACAGUAGCGGCACACACACAACACCAUCACCAGGAUGUUUGUCCAAAAUGCCUUUCAAAUUCAUUUCAAACAUUCUUGAAUCAAUUGACCAUGCUUUGUUGAAACAAUCAACUCGCCGGUCUUUCAUUCUAAACAUUUAGCAAACAAGAGUCUGUGAGCUAAUUGUAGUUUUGUUGCCUCAGAAUUGUGUGGAUACGUGUGUUACAUUACAUCUACCAAACUAAUCAAAUUGCUACUCAUCGAUUCCUCACUACUCAAAGUAUCUUGCUCUCACCAUAUUUUCAAGUUAUAGCAAAAAUGAAGCCACUCUCCUCUGGAGACAGUGGGUGGUUUCAAUUCCUCACCUUGGAGCUGUUCCUGACCAGCAUCUCAUUGGGGUUCUGCUGCUGGAACACACUCGACAGCCAUACCCACUGCAGCGUGACUCCUCUAACUCCAACUGCAACCGUUGUAUCCUCUGCAGCAGUU